AUUGAACGCUGGCGGCAGGCCUAACACAUGCAAGUCGAACGAGUGGCGGACGGGUGAGUAAUGUCUGGGAAACUGCCUUAUGGAGGGGGAUAACUACGGGAAACGGUAGCUAAUACCGCAUACCAUCAGAUGUGCCCAAAGGGGAUUAGCUUGUUGGUGGGGUAACGGCUCACCAAGGCGACGAUCCCUAGCUGGUCUGAGAGGAUGACCAGCCACACUGGAACUGAGACACGGCCCAGACUCCUACGGGAGGCAGCAGUGGGGAAUAUUGCACAAUGGGCGCAAGCCUGAUGCAGCCAUGCCGCGUGUAUGAAGAAGGCCUUCGGGUUGUAAAGUACUUUCAGCGGGGAGGCGUUACCCACAGAAGAAGCACCGGCUAACUCCGUGCCAGCAGCCGCGGUAAUAC
rnacentral:rRNA from 1 species